GAUCCCUGUUUUAUUAGGUACCCUCUGCCCUGACAUGAAAAGAAGAUGCUGCUUCUUGCAGGCUUUAGCCUUUUGUUUCUCUACAAGGGCAUGCUGUGUAACCAAGUGACCCAGAGUUCUCGGGAACUGGCAGUGGCCAGUGGCAGUGGAGUGGUCCUGCCCUGCACUUACAGCACUAGUUACUCAAAUCCGGGUUUAUACUGGUACCGAGAAAAGCCAGAUGGAACUUUUCAGUUUAUUCUUUACAGGGAUAACAGUCGAUCCCUUAAUGCAGAGUUUACUAAAGGUCGAUUUUCUGUGAAGCGCAAUCAGAACCAGAAAACCUUCCACCUGGUGAUCAACCCCGUGAGGAUGGAAGACAGUGCCCUCUACUUCUGUGCCCUGAGCACGGUGAUGCAGGUGCCCGGGAAGCCUGCACAGAAACCCACAGGCACAGCUCAAUGGAGCUACCCUCAGGGCAGGCCAAGUAUUGGAUCUGGCAUCCUUCUCCUAGUUUCUAUGCUCUGGCUUGGCCUUUAGAGUGCCUGAAAGUGUUUGCUAAUUAAUAACAGUGCAGAUCACAUCGAGGGAGCACCCUGGUUUCCGGUAGAGCAAAGCAUCUUAUACCUCAGCAGACCCUCGACAUCUGAGUGGCUCAUAGUGGGUUAGGGGAGCUGCAUGUCUGAGGGACUAGUGUCUGUGUGUCCCCUGUGCCUCGGUGGCACCUGACACAAAACGGGGUUCGACAAGUCCAUGCUGCAUUUGCUGUGAGGGUAUCAGAAUGGCACUCAUGAAAGGCCAACCCAAGGACAGUGUCAGCAUCAGCGGUGUCUUUACGUUACUCUCCAUCAUCACUUUUCCUUUCGUGUGAAUUAAUCUGUUUUCCUUUUGAAAAUAAAAUUGGACACAAAGUGAUUUACUUAAAACAUUUUCCCCAGUUAAGCUUUUCUCUGUGAUGUCUUAUUUCUA